AGCUUUAUAGUCUAAAUUUUAGGAUAUUAAAUUGCAAGUUUAAAGAUAAAUAAAUAUUAUUUUAAGGCUU
rnacentral:tRNA from 1 species